ACCCACAAAACUCCUUACUCGCCAGACCUAAAUAUUGGUCUGAGUGGCUCUAAGAGGAGGAACAAUACAAGUGAAAAUGACUUGGAUUCUUUUGUGACAUACAAGUUCGUUUCAAACAAAC
rnacentral:snoRNA from 1 species